CGCUGGUUUAUCGUUUUUAGUUUUUUUUUUCCAUUGAAGGCGGUUUAGCUUAUUAAAAAAAUAAUCAAACAUGACGGAAUCGUACCAAGUUCUAGCCCAAAACUUUGUUAACUUUUAUUACUCAAACUUUAUUACUAAAAACUGGAGCCAACUGGGGAGUAUCUUUCUCCCAAAUUCCUUAAUGACAUACGAUUCUAAAGAACUCUUGGGCACCGAGGCCAUACUAUCUCAGCUAAGCUCCUUGCCUUUUAGCAAAGAAGUGAAGUACAAUCUUACUUUGGUUCAAGUACAACCUGGCCAAAGUCCAGAACUAAUUCUUAUAGCCGUUUUAGGAAGAUUUCAGGAUGGCCAAGAUGCACCCAUUGGAUUCUCUCAAUUUUUUCAACUAAAGAAAGAAAGUAAUGGCUGGUUCUGCACAAACACUCUCUUUCAUCUCCACUUUCACAACUGUUGAA